rnacentral:rRNA from 1 species
AUUGAACGCUGGCGGCAGGCCUAACACAUGCAAGUCGAACGAGUGGCGGAAGGGUGAGGAAUGUCUGGGAAACUGCCUGAUGGAGGGGGAUAACGACUGGAAACGGUAGCUAAUACCGCAUACCAUCAGAUGUGCCCAGAUGGGAUUAGCUAGUAGGGGGGGUAACGGCUCACCUAGGCGACGAUCCCUAGCUGGUCUGAGAGGAUGACCAGCCACACUGGGACUGAGACACGGUCCAGACGCCUACGGGAGGCAGCAGUGGGGAAUAUUGCACAAUGGGCGCAAGCCUGAUGCAGCCAUGCCGCGUGUGUGAAGAAGGCCUUCGGGUUGUAAAUCACUUUCAGCGAGGAGGCGUUACUCGCAGAAGAAGCACCGGCUAACUCCGUGCCAGCAGCCGCGGUAAUAC